UCCGUAGGCGGCCAAAUAAGUCAGUGGUGAAAGCCCAUCGCUCAACGAUGGAACGGCCAUUGAUACUGUUUGGCUUGAAUUAUUAGGAAGUAACUAGAAUAUGUAGUGUAGCGGUGAAAUGCUUAGAGAUUACAUGGAAUACCAAUUGCGAAGGCAGGUUACUACUAAUAUAUUGACGCUGAUGGACGAAAGCGUGGGGAGCGAACA
rnacentral:rRNA from 1 species